UUAAUUAUAUAUUUAUUUAUAUUUAUUUGUACAUGUGCAUAUCAAAUGUUUAAUGAUUUACUGUGCUUGCAUUUAAAUGCAAUGUUUGAUCAUCUUGUUUGUAUGAAUUGGGAUGAAGUGGGUCACCACGAGUUUGUGAGAACGGUUUAUGAUACCGUCGGCCAUGUAUGCGGAGAUCGGCGCCCCCGUGUGCAUCUGAUGUUAUGAAUGAUAUGGAAAAACCACAAGGUAGCCUCUUGUUAGUAUGAAAAAGAAAAGAGAGUAUAAAAAAAAAAUGAGAAAGUUGGUCAAGUGAGGGUUAGAUCGGUCGGCUAUGUAUGGGAGAUCGACUCCUUGAUGCACAGGUUUGAGAGGAUGGGCCAUGUGUGAGGACAGCUCAUUGGGCGUUUUGGUGACGCCACUGACUAAUUUCCACUUGUUUGAUUAUUUGAAAGUAUAAUUACUUGUGAGUGCUGAUGUUGUGCCAUAUAUUUGACUGGUUGUUCAUUUUAGUAUUUUAGGAAGCAUUUCGUGUGAAUGCCUGUGUUAUGCCAUAAUUAUUAUUCAUUACAAAUUCACAUUUCUUUUGUAUAAUUUUUCUAGGAAGUAGUAGAUUUUUUUUUAUCCCGACUAAAGCUUUGUUUCCUUCACCUCAAAGCUAGAAAAGUAAUUUCCUAAUUCCA
rnacentral:lncRNA from 1 species